GGGGAUGUUCUGGCUUCGACGCUGGUGAUGAAACUCAAUGAUGCAUGUCGAGAGUAUAUGUCCUCUCGUUAAUCCAACAUAUAUUGUUAUAGUCGCAAACGACGAAAAUUACGCUCUAGCAGCAUAAACCCAGUUUACUUGGUUUAGACCCUGCUUACUAAGUUGCUGAUCACCUACAGUUGGUCAACUAAGUUGAAGCGUCCGCAUGUAGGCUCGCCACAAGGGAUUGUCUCAAUCGCUUGGGUUCAAAAGUAGAGAAUCGGCUAAUCCAUCCUGACUGUCGGAUCGGUGCAGACUAAAAUCAAAGACAGAAACUAAACAUGUAGAUUCAUGAGCGUAAUGCUGGCGGACGCGGGUUCAACUCCCGCCAUCUCCACCA
rnacentral:tmRNA from 1 species